UACGAAGGGGGCUAGCGUUGCUCGGAAUCACUGGGCGUAAAGGGUGCGUAGGCGGGUCUUUAAGUCAGGGGUGAAAUCCUGGAGCUCAACUCCAGAACUGCCUUUGAUACUGAGGAUCUUGAGUUCGGGAGAGGUGAGUGGAACUGCGAGUGUAGAGGUGAAAUUCGUAGAUAUUCGCAAGAACACCAGUGGCGAAGGCGGCUCACUGGCCCGAUACUGACGCUGAGGCACGAAAGCUAGGGGAGACAAACAGG
rnacentral:rRNA from 1 species